CUUUUGCUGGCGACCGGCGCACGGGUGAGUAACACGUAUCCAACCUGCCCUUUACUCGGGGAUAGCCUUUCGAAAGAAAGAUUAAUACCCGAUGGCAUAAUGAUUCCGCAUGGUUUCAUUAUUAAAGGAUUCCGGUAAAGGAUGGGGAUGCGUUCCAUUAGGUUGUUGGUGAGGUAACGGCCCACCAAGCCUUCGAUGGAUAGGGGUUCUGAGAGGAAGGUCCCCCACAUUGGAACUGAGACACGGUCCAG
rnacentral:rRNA from 1 species